rnacentral:lncRNA from 1 species
GUUAAAAUUAAUAUUUAUUAAUAGUAACUUCUAAACAAAAAUAAAUUUACAGCUAAUCAUCUCAAGACAAUAAUCAUUUCUUAAUACAUAAUUUUCAAGCAGUGUAAGGGAGGUAAUCAAACAUAUAUUUAACAGUGUUCUUUAAAGUGAAUUGAAUUACCUACCUUACACUGCUUUUAGAUUGUCUAAAUUGUCCUUUAACCAGAAAAACCCGUUUCCCCCAUAAUUGCUAUAUGAUUUGAGCCAUAACCCCUAUAACUAUCCCUUUGAAGUAUGAAAACUUGAUAUAAUUUCAGAGAGAUUAUACACUUAAACACAAGUUAUUGACUUGAAACUACAAAAUGCUUAUUUGGGUCCUUUUUUCCUAAACUUUUGGGACCAUAACCCCCAAAAUCAAUCCCAACCUUCUUUUUGUGAUUAUAAACAUUGUGUUAAAUUUUAUUGAUUUUUAUUUUCUUGUACUAAAGUUAUUGUCCGGAAACCAUCUGUCUUCGGACGACGCUGACGACGACGACGUGAUACAAACAUACGACCAAGUUUUUUUUAUAUUUGCGGUCGUAUAAAAAUGCUUAUUGGGCCCUUAAUUCCAAACCAAUUGACCAUAACCCCUAAAAAUCAAUUCCAACUUUCCUUUAGUAGUUCUAAACUUUGUGUUCAAAUUUUAUUGAUUUCUAUUUACGAUACUAAAGUUAUUAAACCAUAUGUCUUCGGACGACGCUGAUGACAACGUGAUACCAAUAUACAACCCCAAAAAAAUUCUUUUUUUCGGUGGUAUAAAAAUUCAAUAGUAAUAAUUUUCAAUAUUUGUUUUACAUGGGAAACAUGAUACACUAAAAUUUACGACAAAAGAGAUAAUUUUUUGUUCCCAUCUGUUUAUUUUUCCUUAUUGGACGGGGUUGUUCCUACUAGUUGUCAGACCACCAGUUCAAAAUCCCUAUCUCUUCACCCAAAUUUAACAGUUUUCACAGAAACGGGUACGGAGUAUAUCCUAAACUGUUUAUGUAUGACCUUUCCAGUGGCGGAUUCUGAAGUUUUCAUAAGAUGAGCCCCGCUCUGUCCAUUUUCCCCCAGAAAAGGUGGGUCUCUGCUAUCUAAAUGCCAAUUUUCAAGCCAUGUUUAAAGGAAGAACCGCCUUUCGGAAGCCAAGUUUUACUGAAAAUACUCAACGAUUUUUUAGAAAUCUUAAAUUAGUAUACUAUGGAGCGCAUUAAUCCUUAUUUUCACUGCAAACUCAUAAACCAGUAAAUUUUGCCUCAAAGUGGUUUAAAUAUAUUUCUCUUUUACCUAGUUAUAUUUUUGCAAAUUUGUAGUAAAACAAUCAAAUCAAAACCACUAUUUUCUGUCAGAGUAGAGCUACUUUUACCGUGAAUUGAUGGUCUGACAACUAAAACUCUCUAGCUAGCCUAUGUCAGUUGCUGGUGUGAUGUUUUGCACUUCAAUGAACGUAAUGUAUGUAUUAUUGGUAAAUUAUUAAGUCUGGGAUUUCGUUACAACAAAUUACUUAUAACCAUUACUAUAAAUUCUUCUAUCAACAUAAAAAAAAUGGUUGCCUGAAUAGUCUGAAAAUUUCAGGGCAGAUAUAGAUCUUAAUGAACAAUUUUAUCCUGUAAGAUUUGCUCUUAAAGAUUUGGUUUCAGAGAUAUGAGCCAGCCAGAUGCUCCGCAAGGCGCAGCUUUAUACGACCGCAGAGGUCGAACCCUGAACAGUUGGGGCUAGUAUGGACACAACAUUCAACCUUGAUACACCGUGAUUAAAUAGUUGACACAGCAUAGGUUUUUGACACAGAAUGAAUGGGGUCUAAUGAACUUAAUUGUUUUUGGUUUUGAGCAAUUCACCAUGCUGUUGAAUAUUUUAAAUCCUCUCAAAAAAAAAAUAUUUGAAAAUAUUUCCUUUUUAAUUUCUAAAAUCUUUAAUGAGAAAAAUUGUUCCC